rnacentral:rRNA from 1 species
GACGAACGCUGGCGGCGUGCUUAACACAUGCAAGUCGAACGGAAAGGCCCUGCUUUUGUGGGGUGCUCGAGUGGCGAACGGGUGAGUAACACGUGAGUAACCUGCCCUUGACUUUGGGAUAACUUCAGGAAACUGGGGCUAAUACCGGAUAGGAGCUCCUGCUGCAUGGUGGGGGUUGGAAAGUUUCGGCGGUUGGGGAUGGACUCGCGGCUUAUCAGCUUGUUGGUGGGGUAGUGGCUUACCAAGGCUUUGACGGGUAGCCGGCCUAAGAGGGUGACCGGCCACAUUGGGACUGAGAUACGGCCCAGACUCCUACGGGAGGCAGCAGUGGGGAAUAUGGCACAAUGGGCGGAAGCCGGAUGCAGCAACGCCGCGUGCGGGAUGACGGCCUUCGGGUGGUAAACCGCUUUCGCCUGUGACGAAGCGUGAGUGACGGUAAUGGGGAAAGAAGCACCGGCUAACUACGU